CGUGUGAGCGCGGCGUACUCGUCUCUCACGCGUGAACCUCGCCCCCGCGUGUAGACUUGCCGCCUAUCGCGCGCCUCGACACACGCACGGACGCUGAAUUGCAACGUGAAGGAUGAUCACAUGAUCAGGACGGCCCAUAAGUCGACGAUGAAGGAGGAGAAGAAGAAGAGCAGCUGCAUAUUCGGCAUGUAAGCCAAAAGUCUGCACUGCUUCUGUUGCACAUUUGUGCACUGCAACAUUUAACAUCAGCAAAAGACAAACCACCACUUUUGCAUACUUUCAGGAAUUAGGAAUCUCACAUAUAAUCACUGAAAAACAUCAUUUUCACUCCCUUGUAUGAAUUAAAUAGUGACAAAAUGACAGGCAUUAAGUGUUAAUAGUCUUGACAAAAACAUACACACUAACCAGACAAAGCAAUGGCAUCUAAUAUAUGAAAUGUACGAAAAAAACAUCUGCCUUAACAAGGAUGACUAAUGCUCACAUUUAAUUGAUACUGUCAAACAUUCAUUUAACAAUAUGUUUAGUUAUGUGCAUAUAAGUUGCAACAUACACCAUGCAUUAUUUAAAAAAAAAGGUAGAAACAGCUCUCAGUAUGGUGUCGUACAUUUGUACACCAUUGCAAACUACUACCACAAGAAAAAACAUAAAACUAAGCAUUGUUGUCUUUAUAAAGUCACGAUUUUUGUAUUGGAUUCCAUUUGCCUUAUCUGUAAGUAGUCUUGCGUAUGUAAGUAAUUUGAAUAAAUCAGAAAUCGUGGAGAAGGAGGUGUACAUUAUUGCUAUGGUAAUGGGUGCUUGGCAACACUGCAGAUGCUCAGGUAACG